CCGUAAUCGGCAAAGACAGCAGUUGGUAAUUGAGAGGACAAAUUUGGUGGAAUUCAACCACAGCACUCACAGUGUUGUGUUACAAGGUGGAAAUCGUAUAAUUCGCUGUGACAAACGGAUUUCGUAUGAAGCAUCAGCAGGAUUUAUUUAACCCCUCUGCAGCGGUUUGGAAGUGAAAAUGAAAUUGCAGUUUCUCAAUAAACUCUCGAUGAGGUGCCUUUGGUCACAGUGUAGAAGACGGAUAAUGGAGGACGUCCAUUAUUUAGAGGAGCUAAUCCUCCAAUAUCCACAGGAUAAUUCUCUAUAUAACGGAGGACGAGGGCAUAUAUACCUGCUUACCAAUGUUAGCCACCAGAUGUCUCCGCCCUCUAUCACUUACCUACCUAUCUUCCUACUCGAUAGAAUUUUCCAGGAAUAGCAGGUGUUCUAAAGAUAAGAGAAAAAAAUUGUCAAUAUCGGUGAUUUUUCGUCGCCGUUUCAACUGUCUCUUCAAAUCACAGCGAGACUGCCACCUAAAGAAGAACGAUCAUUUGAAAAGCUUCAUUGAUUUAUAAAGUCUGAAUCUUGAAAAA